CGAGAGGCUGUGGCGGGCAAGCGAUUCGCCAACCCGGUCAGGUCCGAAAGGAAGCAGCCGCAACGAAUUCGGCUUGUGUCGCGUAACAGCCUCUCGUCC
rnacentral:SRP_RNA from 1 species